AUGGUGGCGACAGCGGCGGCGGCGGCGGAUAUGCUGGCAGCGGCGGCCGAUGGAUCCAAGAGGAAGAUGUGCUUGUCGGGUAGUGGAUAUGCGACGGUGAUGGUGUGUGCUGGCGAUCAUCCCCGCCCCUAUUUUCGGUUCAAGAUAGAGCGAUGGUGGCGACGACUGCUCGAUGACUCACGAGGAGGUGGCAGCAAUUUUCUUGACAACAAGAUCAAGGCAGCAACAAGCAGUUCUGGUCAGAUAAAGGGAUUUCGACCCUGCUUGUUAUGCGAAACAUACCCUUUUCAUUUGACCUCGACCUAA
rnacentral:rRNA from 1 species